GACGAACGCUGGCGGCGUGCUUAACACAUGCAAGUCGAACGGUGACCCAGGGCUUGCCCUGGUGAUCAGUGGCGAACGGGUGAGUAACACGUGGGCAACCUGCCCCUGACUUCGGGAUAACUCCUCGAAAGAGGAGCUAAUACCGGAUACGACCACUUCGGACAUCCGAUGGUGGUGGAAAGUUUUUCGGUCAGGGAUGGGCCCGCGGCCUAUCAGCUAGUUGGUGGGGUAAUGGCCUACCAAGGCGACGACGGGUAGCCGGCCUGAGAGGGCGACCGGCCACACUGGGACUGAGACACGGCCCAGACUCCUACGGGAGGCAGCAGUGGGGAAUAUUGCGCAAUGGGCGAAAGCCUGACGCAGCGACGCCGCGUGAGGGAUGAAGGCCUCGGGUUGUAACCUCUUCAGCAGGGACGAAGCGAAAGUGACGGUACCUGCAGAAGAAG
rnacentral:rRNA from 1 species